GCAGUCGUGGCCGAGUGGUUAAGGCGAUGGACUAGGAAUCCAUUGAGGUCUCCCCGCACGGGUUCGAGUCGUGUCGACUGCG